GUCCACUAUGGUACAGUGGUUAACUUGCGGCAUCGUCGGUUGGACGAGUGCAGCACGUCGAAGGUUCGAUUCCUUCGGGUGACA